GUUUGGCUGGCAGAAUUCAGCCAGAGAAUGCCCUGUGCAGGCGCAGAGAAGGAUUGCAAAGUGCCAGGGGUGGGUGACUGGUUAACCAUUUACUUCCCUCCCAGGGAGGACAGCAGAAAAGAGGCCCCAGCUGCUGCCCACUCCUGCCCACAGCCUUGGUGUUCCUGAUCCAGCACGUUGCCAUCAUCCUCGCCCCAGAUACCAGCCAAGGAGGCUGGAAGGCCAACCAAGCUCCAACCACUGGGCGUCCCAUCGCAGCGUGGCUUUACUGCUAACGUUGGCAUUGCUGUUUGUGCCAGGGGUUCUGUUCAAAACCAAGCUCUUAGAAGAAUUUGGAGGAAAUUAUGACUGCAACCAUGUCUUUAAGCAGCUAACCCUGGAGAGAGAAUGGACCAAGCUAAACAUUAACCAUUGCUGCUGGUAGGCCUCUGACAGCACAAGGUGGUGAGCCUGUCUUUCAGAAACCAGCUAGCUGGGUUCAAAACCAAGCCCAUCAUGUAGAAGCUAUGUGACCUUGAAGAAGUUAAUUAGACUCUCUGAACCUUUGGUUCUUUAUCCACCAAUAAAAAUAAUCUCACCUACCACCCAGGGUUGUAGGUCCAAGUGUAUAAUGUACAAAUGAAUAAAUUAAGACAGUCUCACUCCUGUUGUCAUUCCCUUGUCAUUGAAAAGACAUUGAGUACAAAUGGAUAGAUGCUAUCCAAAGAGGACACGUUCAGUGCCUGGACCAUGGGCACUUUGCCCCUCUCCAUGGUCUGAAGCACUAAUGGCUGGAAUCUAACCUGGAAGGUUGGUUACCCU
rnacentral:lncRNA from 10 species